rnacentral:rRNA from 1 species
UUGCGGCGGCCAUGGCCCAGGUGAGACGCCCGGUCCCAUUCCGAACCCGGAAGCUAAGGCCUGGCACGGCGAUGGUACUGCACCCGACAGGGUGUGGGAGAGUAGCACGCCGCCGCAUCACA